rnacentral:rRNA from 1 species
AUUGAACGCUGGCGGCAUGCCUUACACAUGCAAGUCGAACGGCAGCACGGGGCAACCUGGUGGCGAGUGGCGAACGGGCGAGUAAUGCAUCGGGACGUACCUUUCAGUGGGGGAUAACGUAGCGAAAGUUACGCUAAUACCGCAUAUUCUGUGAGCAGGAAAGCAGGGGAUCGCAAGACCUUGCGCUGAUUGAGCGGCCGAUGUCAGAUUAGCUAGUUGGUGAGGUAAAGGCUCACCAAGGCGACGAUCUGUAGCGGGUCUGAGAGGAUGAUCCGCCACACUGGGACUGAGACACGGUCCAGACUCCUACGGGAGGCAGCGGUGGGGAAUUUUGGACAAUGGGGGCAACCCUGAUCCAGCCAUGCCGCGGGAGUGAAGAAGGCCUUCGGGUUGUAAAGCUCUUUCGGCCGGGAAGAAAUCGCACGGGCUAAUACCCUGUGUGGAUGACGGUACCGGAAUAAGAAGCACCGGCUAACUACGUGCCAGCAGCCGCCGUAAAAC